UCGAGCACACCGCAGACCGCAUGCCGGCAUAUGGUACCUUUCAACCGUGAGCCCGCAGCUAACAAAGGAAGGAGUAUUUUACAUGGUGCAAUCUCUAAUCUCAUAAACAAUACUAAAGACAUGAUGUAAGCCUCCAGGGUGCCAUGAACGCCGAGGCAUAUUGCAUUUAGAUGGAGCCCAUGGGGCCGGAGCUGAAAUAUGGUGAUUUGAUUGCAAGCGUCUGUAAAUAGCUUUUGCCAGUUCAGUCGGCCUACGCUGACAACACGAUUUGCAGCACAGCUUGCUUUGAUUCGGUGGGAAAUAAAACACACAAACUCACUGCAGAGCCGCGCGUUCUGAAGCGAGAUGUUUUGAAUUUCACCAAAGGCUUCGGUCCCUGAGAUCAGAGACUUGAUAUAACUAUCUGGGCAAGAGACAAAUUCGCUCGGUUUCGCUCGCCUUUCCAACUGGCAGACUUCACAAAGUUACUUGACAUUCCUGUUUGAACUCCUUUGAAAAAUCGCCUCCAUCUUUGAGCGUUUGCAACAAGAUGCAAGGAAAGAUAGCUUGACUGGUCGCAACCUACAAUCGUGAAGUUUACUGUAAAGAUCUGUAUUUAAUCUCGCACACAUGCCCGCCAGCCACUGCCAGAUGGAAAGCUGGCACUCGCCACGGUGGAUUUCACAAAUGGAUGCUGUGCAGCGAGGAGCACAACACUAAACAGAUGUCAAUUACCAAAUCAAAGCGUGAAUUACAUUAUCGGCGCUUUUAGAUUUCAGCAGACCUUUGUCUCGCAGCACAAAGUCAAUUCGAUUUACUGAUGCGCGCAACGGCAAACUUCCCACUCAAGACAUCCAGAAGUGAGGAAAAUAACUCAAUAGCAGGUCAAAUGAGCAAGUAACGAGAAAUGGCCCUGGAACAGAGAAAGCCGGCUCUGCUAGGGGAGGUGAUAAACAUUUCCAUUUCUCUCUGCCGCACACACUCGCGCAAGAAUGGAGGUGCAAGCAAAGGUGAAAGAGGGAAAAGAGCACUGAAGUUUUUUUUGUGUGAAAAAGGUGUUUAAACUUGACAGUGCCUUAAAGGAGAAACAAAACUGAGCUGUGAUUUCGCCUUCGCUAGCCUGAGGCCGUUCACAGCAGCUCAGAGUCAGAGCUCUGUAGAGGCAAAAGACCUGCGAAAAAUUAAAGUCUGCCUGGAACAACAUGAGGAUGUUUUCUUAACUUGUGGUGUGCCAAAAUGGAGGAGAAAAUUCAUGUUCGGUGUUUUGAGUGGACUGACUUUAAACUGAAAUGGUCCCAGCACUAGUCCAACAGC